GACGAACGCUGGCGGCGUGCUUAACACAUGCAAGUCGAGCGACGCUCCUCCUUCGGGAGGAUGACGGAGCGGCGAACGGGUGAGUAACACGUGGGCAACCUGCCCCUAGCUCUGGGAUAAGCCCGGGAAACCGGGUCUAAUACCGGAUAUGAGUUCGGAAGGCAUCUUCUGACCUGGAAAGUUUUUCGGCUAGGGAUGGGCCCGCGGCCUAUCAGCUUGUUGGUGAGGUAACGGCCCACCAAGGCGACGACGGGUAGCCGGCCUGAGAGGGCGACCGGCCACACUGGGACUGAGACACGGCCCAGACUCCUACGGGAGGCAGCAGUGGGGAAUAUUGCACAAUGGGCGAAAGCCUGAUGCAGCGACGCCGCGUGAGGGAUGACUGCCUUCGGGUUGUAAACCUCUUUCAGCAGGGACGAAGCGAAAGUGACGGUACCUGCAGAAGAAGCACCGGCCAACUACGUGCCA
rnacentral:rRNA from 1 species